rnacentral:rRNA from 1 species
CACGUAGGGGGCGAGCGUUGUCCGGAUUUAUUGGGCGUAAAGAGCUCGUAGGCGGCCAACUAAGUCGGACGUGAAAUCCCUCGGCUUAACCGGGGAACUGCGUCCGAUACUGGAUGGCUUGAGUUCGGGAGAGGGAUGCGGAAUUCCAGGUGUAGCGGUGAAAUGCGUAGAUAUCUGGAGGAACACCGGUGGCGAAGGCGGCAUCCUGGACCGACACUGACGCUGAUGAGCGAAAGCCAGGGGAGCAAACGGG